CGUAGCAAGAUGAUCGCUCAGGUUCAGUUGAUCUGGCUGUUAGUGCUCUGGAUCCAAGAGUCCAGUGGGCAGAUUGUGCUGACUCAGACUCCAGAAUCCCUGGCAGUGUCUCCAGGAGACAGAGUCACCAUCAACUGCAAAGCCAGUUCAAGUCUCACCUGGAGUAGCUAUCACUUACUAGCCUGGUACCAACAGAAAUCAGGACAAGCUCCAAAGCUCCUCAUCUAUCAUGCUUCCAACCGUGCCUCUGGGAUCCCAGACCGGUUCAGCGGCAGUGGGUCUGGCACUGAUUAUACUCUCACAAUCAGCAGAGUUGAAGCUGAAGAUGCUGGAGAUUACUAUUGUCAGCAGUAUAAAAGCUCACCUCUCACAGGUCAACCAGAUCGCUGA